ensembl:lncRNA
GGAACCCUCAAGCGGCACCUGCGGAUCCCACAGCGGGGAGAAGCCCCACGUGUGCAUCCACUGCCAGCGGCAGUUUGCUGACCCUGGUGCCCUGCAGCGGCACGUCCGGAUCCACACGGGUGGAAGCCGUGGCCAGUGUGUGAUGUGCGGCAAGGCCUUCACGCAGGCCAGCUCCCCUCAUAGCCCACGUGCGCCAGCACACUGGGGAGAAACCCUACGUCUGUGAGCGCUGCGGCAAGAGGUUCGUCCAAUCUAGCCAGUUGGCCAAUCACAUUCGUCACCAUGACAACAUCCGCCCACACAAGUGCAGUGUUUGCAGCAAGGCCUUUGUGAACGUGGGGGACCUGUCCAAGCACAUCAUCAUCCACACUGGAGAGAAGCCCUACCUGUGUGACAAGUGUGGGCGUGGCUUCAACCGGGUGGACAACCUGCGGUCCCAUGUGAAGACUGUGCACCAGGGCAAGGCCGGCAUCAAAAUCUUGGAGCCAGAGGAGGGGGCAGUGAGGUCAGCGUGGUCACUGUGGAUGACAUGGUCACACUGGCCACCGAGGCACUGGCAGCAACAGCCGUCACUCAGCUCACAGUGGUACCAGUGGGGGCAGCGGUGACAGCCGAUGAGACAGAAGUGCUAAAAGCUGAGAUCAGCAAAGCCGUAAAGCAAGUGCAGGAAGAAGACCCCAACACCCACAUCCUCUACGCCUGUGACUCCUGUGGGGACAAAUUCCUGGAUGCCAACAGUCUGGCGCAGCACGUUCGGAUCCACACAGCCCAAGCGCUGGUCAUGUUUCAGACAGACGCGGACUUCUACCAGCAGCCCAGGGGACUGGGCAGCUGAGGAAGAAAGGGCAGUGGGGAGAACCACACUGCUCCAAGAGAGCCAGGCAGCCCAGACAGCACCAGCUACCCCUCCCAAAGCUAAGCCCAGCUCCAAGACCUCAGUGGCUUUGCCCCCUUUGGCCGCUCAUGGGACUGGCUCAAGGGCACUUUCAUCCAGAGAAUGAAGGCUGAAGUGCUUUCCAGGUUACCUAGGAGCCAAUCAGGACCUUGAAGUUUCAUGAUGAUCUACACACACCAGAACACUGGAAAAUGUUACAGUUCAUCCACAAGAAGUCUUUUGUACAAGAUGAAGUCAUCUUGGGGAGGAUUAAGGUGGGGUAAAAGCAUAGGUGAGGUGAAGCUAGCUGUUGCCCUAAGCCAGUGCCCCCUGGCCCUCCCACAGAGCGACAAAUCACAUUCACACUUGAGGUGUUUUGUAUUUUUUAAUAAAGUUUGUAAUCCAAUGGACACACAAAACAAAACUGCGCUGAGAAAACAGUUUCAUAAAUUAAUAAGUGUUAGGAAGUGGGAGAGGUCUGGGUCACAGGAAGAAGGUUGGCCAGUCUUUCUGUACAGGUGCUGUGUGACACUUCCACGAAGCGGGAGCAGCGCCCGUGCUGUCAUGAAGCGCACUUAUACAAAUGAGUGACAAUACAAAGUCUGAGUAUGAAAAUAAGAUUUUCUCUGAAAACACAUUUUUUGGCACAGAUUAAAAAAAAUGUAUGUUGGGGAAAUUUGAUUUUUAAGUCAGUAUUAUAUAUAUUUAUAUAUAUUAUAUAUUUAUAUAUACACACAUCCCAAGUUCUGCAUAUCCCACCAAGAAAGGAAAUCCUGUGUUUGCUCCUGUUCCACUGUAAACUGUACAUCCUGGUGAGCCAAACGUGGUGGCAGCAGGAGAGUUAAAGGUGAUGUCCAAUGAGCAAAGAAGAGAAGGUGGGGCAAAAAAACCCAAUGAAAUGUUCCUUGACCCCAAGGUUUCAGCAGAAGUUCCCGGUCCUGCAUUAGCGUCUGUGACGUGUUCAUACACACCAAGACGUCUGUCAGUGUCACAGCCUGUCUUCACUGUGCAAAAGUCCAAGUCACUAAUUUAGUGCAAAGGCAGUCCUGUUUUGUUUCUUAAAAACGAAAACAAAAAAUUCCACUGCCCUAUUCCUUUUCUCAAAAAAAAGAAACCCAGCCCCAAGGUGUCUGUGAGUCCCUCAGUUGGUGGCACGUCCCAUGGGCGACAGCAUCGUGUAAACAUACAAGGCAGCAGCACCACCACCCAGGGAGAUCCGUCCCUGGGAGCUGGGUGGUCGAGGAGGCCAGUGUCUGGCAGUGGGGUCUGUCCCCUCCGCAGGUGCUCCCUCUGCCUGACUGGGUAGUCUGGUGUUCAUUUUUGCGGCAGAACCUCGGGAAAUUACUCCUGAGGUGGUGAUCGGUCCCGUGGCUCACACAGAGGCAAUGACAAUCAUAAGGUGGGGAGAGAUGUUGGAGACACUGGCAAGGAGGUCAGGGGCCAGGCGGGAAAGGUGACUCUCAGAGAACUCACAAGGCGGGAAGAUCUGCAGCACAUAGGCGGGCUGGAAAAGGGGGGAAAGAGAAAAUGGGACCUUCCUGCCUUCAGCUCACCCCUCCCCAACAUGCUUCCGACAGGCCCACAACAGGCCAGAAGCAGGCAGCCAGCCUAGGUCAGCAUCCUAGCCAUGACCACGCCCACCAGAUGAACCACUAUGACUGCCCUGAGCGCCUGUGCUCAAGAAGGUCCUUGGGUACCCCCUCACACACUGCUGGUUGCCUCUAUUCAAAAUGCCCUUUGCCUACUUCCUCCAGGAGCUGCUAGGCUACCCUAGCUUGUGCUGGUGACCUGUGUCACCAGACUCCCACUUGCCACCAGCCCUUCCUGUACAGGGGGGUUAGGGCAGAUGGGAUUCGACACCAUGCUGGACCAACCUGAUUGGAGCCAGGGUUCGGAACGUUGAUGAUCCCUGCCGCCUGCUUGGCCUGCAGGUAAGUGAUGAAGGCAGCCUUAAGAGACUCUGUCUGGCUUACCACGUCGUCUUGGUCACGACCACAUGGCAGAGCCAGCAGCAGACAGUAAUCUGUCUCCACCUGAGGCAGAGAAGCCAGUGGUCAGGGGCC